UUGUACCCCUCAUUCUAGACACAACUUGCUGUUCACAUCUUUGGGGUGUAUUUCCAUUCCUACUAGAUGGAACCAUUUAUAUGUUUACCUAAUUCUAUGUGUAUGCUAAAUAUACCCGUUUAUCAAGAUGGAACUCAGGACUACCAGUUUUUCAAUGCUGCUUCUCUCUGCUACAAAGGCAUCAGCUUUUGACAUAUAUGAUUAAAUUCCCUGAAAAUAGAAAUAUUUCACCUUUUCCCCCCCUGGCUUAUAUAUUUUAUUCUUUUUCUCCUGCCCCCAUAUUUUUCUGAGCACUCAGAUGCAGGCAGGUGUGCUGUCCCUGCCCAGUCUCUACUGUC
rnacentral:lncRNA from 1 species